rnacentral:lncRNA from 1 species
GUCAGGACAGAAGGAGGAGUUUAGCACAGACUCUAUACAGCUGAGUAGAUCUGAACAUCACACAACACUGUGUGGAGCAGCUGCUCUGUUUUUAGCUUGUUCUUACUAGAUCAGUGAGUGAACAUGUUGAUCUAUAUUGUUAUACUGCUGUCAUCAACUGAAGGUUGCGGAGCCUCAGAAGUCAUUACUCCAAAAAGAAACAGAGAAUUUGCUCUUGAGGGUGACAUUAAUGUGACACUCUCCUGUAACUACAGCGGUUCUGCUUUUGGUGUUCACUGGUAUCGUCAAUAUGCAGGUUCACCACCACAGUUCCUCAUACUGGAAUAUUCAGGGAUAACAACUCCAGCUAAUCCACCCGUUCCAGGAAUAACCAUCAAUCACAGAAAAACAGAACGCCAUGUGGAUCUGAUCAUCUCCUCUGCUGCUGUAUCAGACUCUGCUCUGUACUACUGUGCUCUGCAGCCCACACUGACAGGAAAACAGACUGCACUGUACAAAAACCUACCAGUAUUUUGGGAAAGUAUUAAAGCAUGUCACUGAAAUAUGUUGUAACUUGUAAUUUAUCUGUAUCUACACUGUAAAAAAUGUGGAGUAGGAUUUACUUGAAAAAAGCUUGCUAAGUUUUUUCACUCAGAAAAUUCUAUUAAAUUUACAAACAUUUGCUAAGUAAAAG